UCCCCAGUAGCUCAGUCGGUAGAGCAGCGGACUGUUAAUCCGCGUGUCGUCGGUUCAAAUCCGGCCUGGGGAGCCA
rnacentral:tRNA from 1 species